CUCCAGCAGACCCUCCCUCCCAGACCCUCCUACUUUAAAACAUGGAUGCUGUCCAGGAAGUAGGAGGGUCUGGGAGGGAGGGUCUGCUGGAG